GAUGAACGCUGGCGGCGUGCUUAACACAUGCAAGUCGAACGAUGAAGCCCAGCUUGCUGGGUGGAUUAGUGGCGAACGGGUGAGUAACACGUGAGUAACCUGCCCUUAACUCUGGGAUAAGCCUGGGAAACUGGGUCUAAUACCGGAUAGGAGCGUCCACCGCAUGGUGGGUGUUGGAAAGAUUUAUCGGUUUUGGAUGGACUCGCGGCCUAUCAGCUUGUUGGUGAGGUAAUGGCUCACCAAGGCGACGACGGGUAGCCGGCCUGAGAGGGUGACCAGCCACACUGGGACUGAGACACGGCCCAGACUCCUACGGGAGGCAGCAGUGGGGAAUAUUGCACAAUGGGCGCAAGCCUGAUGCAGCGACGCCGCGUGAGGGAUGACGGCCUUCGGGUUGUAAACCUCUUUCAGUAGGGAAGAAGCGAAAGUGACGGUACCUGCAGAAGAAGCACCGGCUAACUACGUG
rnacentral:rRNA from 1 species